rnacentral:rRNA from 1 species
GUGUCAGCAGCCGCGGUAAUACCAGCUCUCCGAGUUGUGGGGACGUUUAUUGAGCCUGAAGCAUCCGUAGCCGGCUGUGCAAGUCCCCUGUUAAAUCCAGCGACUAAUCGUUGGCCUGCGGGGGAUACUGCUCGGCUAGGGGGCGGGAGAGGCCGUCGGUAUUCUUGGGGUAGGGGUGAAAUCCUAUAAUCCCAGGAGGACCACCAGUGGCGAAGGCUGUCGGCUAGAACGCGCCCGACGGUGAGGGAUGAAAGCUGGGGGAGCGAACCGGAUUAGAUACCCGGGUAGUCCCAGCUGUAAACGAUGCAGGCUAGGUGUUAGGGCGGCUACGUGCCGCUCUAGUGCCGCAGGGAAGCUGUUAAGCCUGCCGCUUGGGGAGUACGGCCGCAAGGCUGAAACUCAAAUGAAUUGACGGGG